CAGCCGCCGCGGGAAUACGAAGGGGGCUAGCGUUGCUCGGAAUUACUGGGCGUAAAGGGCGCGUAGGCGGCGCUCCAAGUUAGGCGUGAAAUUCCCGGGCUCAACCUGGGGACUGCGCUUAAGACUGGAGUGCUUGAGGAUGGAAGAGGGUUGUGGAAUUCCCAGUGUAGAGGUGAAAUUCGUAGAUAUUGGGAAGAACACCGGUGGCGAAGGCGGCAACCUGGUCCAUUACUGACGCUGAGGCGCGAUAGCGUGGGGAGCAAACAGGAUUAGAUACCCCGGUAGUCCCUGUCUCUUAUAC
rnacentral:rRNA from 1 species